rnacentral:misc_RNA from 1 species
AUCAUAAAAAAAAAAAAAAAAAACAAACAGAAGCUGAGAUUAAUAGAUAUGGCAGAGACUGAACACAAAAGAAAUGAAAGUUUGGCUUUAGGUUAAUCCUUUGGAAUGGCCGAAGAUGAAAUAAUUAAGGGGGCGAUUAUGCCAAACCAGUCUUGAGGAAACUCCCAAGCUCUCCUCCUCGUUCUCAAACUGUCCCUCUCUCUCUCUCUCCCUCCGUCUCUGCAAGGUUAGUCGUGCAAUGCCUUGCUAAUUUUCAAGAUUUAAUUUUUUAUUGAUACUAUCAAAGUUUAGGGUACUACAUGCAUUUGACACGUAAGCAAAGAGCGGUGAGAAAUCCAUUGACUAUGAGCAGUCCUUUGGGUGACGUGGCUAGUCAUCAUUGCUGGGAUGGUAAGAGUUGUAUAGGGUGGCAUGUAGAGGAGAAGAACUGAGAUCCCCCUCAUCAAAAUGAGGCAUCAUCAGCAAACAAAAUCUUUGCUGUGUUUGUCGCAAAUGAAACCAG